GAAGUGUUAGUAAAACAAUUACAUAGCCUUGUCAAGGCUAAAUCACGGGUGAAACCCCCGUACACCUCAUUACCCAA
rnacentral:tRNA from 1 species